GACGAACGCUGGCGGCGUGCUUAACACAUGCAAGUCGAGCGGUAAGGCCCUUUCGGGGUACGACGAGCGGCGAACGGGUGAGUAACACGUGGGUGACCUGCCCUCAGCUCUGGGAUAAGCCUGGGAAACCGGGUCUAAUACUGGAUACGACUCCAUGACGCAUGUUGUGGGGUGGAAAGCCUUGUGCGGCUGAGGAUGGGCCCGCGGCCUAUCAGCUUGUUGGUGGGGUGAUGGCCUACCAGGGCGACGACGGGUAGCCGGCCUGAGAGGGCGACCGGCCACACUGGGACUGAGACACGGCCCAGACUCCUACGGGAGGCAGCAGUGGGGAAUCUUGCGCAAUGGGCGAAAGCCUGACGCAGCGACGCCGCGUGAGGGAUGACGGCCU
rnacentral:rRNA from 1 species